GCCGGGGUGGCGGAAUUGGCAGACGCGUAUGAUUCAGAAUCAUAUGGGCUUUAGCCUAUGCGGGUUCAAGUCCCGUCUCCGGCACCA
rnacentral:tRNA from 1 species